rnacentral:rRNA from 1 species
GACAGAGGAUGCAAGCGUUAUCCGGAAUGAUUGGGCGUAAAGCGUCUGUAGGUGGUUAUACAAGUCUGCUGUCAAAGCGCAAGGCUCAACCUUGUAAAGGCAGUGGAAACUGUGUGACUAGAGAGUGAUAGGGGCAGAGGGAAUUCCCAGUGUAGCGGUGAAAUGCGUAGAGAUUGGGAAGAACACCGGUGGCGAAAGCGCUCUGCUGGGUCAUAUCUGACACUGAGGGACGAAAGCUAGGGGAGCGAAAGGG